UGGAUCAAGCACGGCUGACGGAGGUCGACCCCUUCCAGCUGUCUUUUUUUCUUCUGAGUUCUAAUUUCGCGCUGUUCUCACCCUGUGUGCGCUCUAGUGGAAGAGCGCGGUGGAAGGUGAGAACGUGGUUCACGGGAAAAGGCUACAAAAACGUUUCCAGCCACACGAGUGCCCAUCUCCCUCCCCUCGCUUCCCCACCGACACACAUUUCAGACUGCGGCACAUCGGGCACGUGUAAGCUGCUUGCGACGAAUGCAUGCCAAGGCCUUGGCGAGGCUGCGAAUGCACCACGCUGCGAGACAGCGGAUGUUUUCUGUGGGCAUGUGGCGGGCGUUGUGGGUGGUGGCGAAGCUGACGAUGCCCGAAAAGGAGGCGCCGGGCUGGCAGACGACAAUACAGGUGAAUCUGGCGAUGAUCACGGAAAAGCCGCAUGCGCUUGCUUCCCCGAUGAUGGCAAGUAGUGUCCGGCCGGCGGUGGACGAGGCGCCCUCUUUUGCAACGACGUCACCGCCUCUUGCACCCGGUCGCGGGUUCACAGAGCUCAGUUGCUCAGUUCUGGUACCCGUCUCUUUAGAGCCACCACUACCGGCGACCUCCUUGCCGUGGCGUGAUCGAGGUUUGCGCACGGGCACCUGCGCAUCUUCCUCAUCAGCGCUAGUUCUGACGGCCGCCUCGUCUCUUCCGUCUUCUCUUCGUCAACACUGGUCCUCUUGCACUACUCUCUCCCGCUGCCCUUUCUUCUCUCUGGCGUUGCCGCUCUGCCUGCUGCGUCACCGUCGGACCCUGCCCCCUCACCACCACCACCGAUCACCGCGUCUGCCGCUGCACACGCCCUGCAGAACAAUAGCUAUUCAGCUACACUCCGUGUUACUCUUUAAGGCAUCGGGCUCGAAAGGCCCACGGGCGGAAUCAGAACGCACCAUGGAGAACGAGCAGCAGCGCACCGCUGCCGUUGCGCAGCUCAAAGCUGUUGUUGGCCUUGACGACAGGGGCGCCAAAGACCUGUCCAGCAAGCCGGAACGCGUUGCCGAUGUGCUGGCCUUCUUCGCGCAGCACAGCAUCGAUGAAGCUUCUCCUCGUGAGCAGAAGGUCAUGCUGUUCAACGUGUGGACAAAGGUGAAGAAGCCUGAGCACCGCGAUCCCGUGACCGCCUUCAUCCUUGACGGCAAACUCGACAGCACGCAGAAGGUCGACGCCGCCAUCAGGUUUGUAAACGCGGCCGGGAGUGAUGUGGUGGACACGGCGGCCAUGCUGGCGGAGUGCGGCGUCGGGGUGACGGUGUCGCGGGAGGACGUGGAGAAGGCAGUUGCCGCGGCCCUCGUCGCUGAGGACGUGGCCGCGCUCAAGACGAAGUGGGACAAGAACCCGAACAUGAUGCUUGGCCAGAUGCGCCGUGUGGCGGCCCUGCGCUGGGCCGACGUGGAGCACGUGCGCGCGGCGCUGGAGAGGCAGGUUCCGGGGUUGAUCAAGGACGUUAUCGUGGAGGCGAAGCCGGCAGCCGCGAAGAAGGAAGCCGCUGCUAUGCCGAAGAAGGAGGUAGAGUCGUGCCGGCAGAACUCGAACUUCAAGGAUGUUGCGCAGGGGCUACCGCGCUCCCCAAUUGGCGAGCUGCCGUCGCACAAAGAGGGCGCCUGCGUCUACGUCGUUGGUUGGGCCCACCGCGUGCGCCACCAGUCUCGCAUGUCCUUUGUGGUGCUGCGCGAUGGCACGGGCUUCAUCCAGUGCGUCUUUGACGGCUCCACGGAGCCCUUCCACCGCGAAUCGUGCGUCGCCAUUCGCGGGACCCUGCGUCACGAGCCGAAAGCGAAGUCGGAGCUGCAGCCGCCGAUGGAGCUGCACGUGAACGAGUACGCUGUCGUUGGUGACUCCGACGGUACGAUUGAGACGGUCAUCACGGCUGAGAGCUCCGUUGACAAACUGUACGACCAGCGCCACGUUGUGGUGCGCGGCACGCUGGCGUCGUCUGUGCUAAAGGUCCGGCACGAGCUGUUGCGCGUGUUCCGCGAGCACUUCUGGUCGCACCAGUACUACGAGGUGACGCCGCCGACGCUGGUGCAGACGCAGGUGGAGGGCGGCUCGACCCUGUUCGAGGUCCUGUACUACGGCGAGAAGGCGUACUUGACGCAGUCGUCGCAGCUUUACCUUGAAAGCGUGACGGCGUCGCUGGGCAACGUGUACUGCUGCAUGCCGAGCUACCGCGCGGAGAGGUCCAAGACGAAGCGCCACCUCAGCGAGUUCACGCACCUGGAGGCCGAGUACGACGUGUGCUCCUUUGAAGAUCUUUUGAAUCACCUGGAGGGCAUGUUCUGCACCGUCAUCCGCACCGUCAUCGAGCGCGUCGGCGACUUGGUUGCCAUGCUGAACCCCAGCCAGCUCAUCGACCCCAACGGAAACGUGCGCGACCCCGCCAACUACAAGUUCACGCCGAAACGCCCUUUCCGCCGCCUCCGCUACGCUGACGCGAUCCAGUUCUGCAACGAGAACGGCAUCUUGAACACCGAGACAGGCAAGCCUUUCGAGUUCGGGGAGGACAUCACUGAUCAGCCGGAACGCGCGAUGGUGGCCAAGCUGGGCGAGUUUGUGUUUAUGACGCACUUCCCUGCCAGCAUGAAGUCUUUUUACAUGCAGCGUGACCCUGAUGACCCGACGCUGACGGAGUCGGUCGACGUCCUGGCGCCCGGCAUUGGCGAGGUGCUUGGUGGCUCGAUGCGUAUGUACAAGUACGACGAGCUGCUCGACGCGUACAAGCGCGAGGGUCUGGAUGCGUCCACGUACUACUGGUACACGGACCAGCGCCGCUACGGCGGUGCCCCGCACGGCGGCUUUGGCCUCGGUGUUGAGCGUCUGCUGGUGUGGAUGCUGAACCUCGAUAGCGUGAAGGACGCAUGCCUGUACCCCCGUUACAUGGGCCGCUGCAAGCCGUAGUGCGUAAAGGUCAGAAGGACCGCUGCGUACGCGCGCGUGAGGUGGGGCCGUCAGAGACAUGGAGUGUGCGUUGCGCGAGAAGACGUUGGCCGAUAGGCGGCGGAUGCGCGCUGGCUAAUAGUGGAGAGAACAAUGUGCGACCCCCUCCCCCAAACAAAAAAAAACGGAAAACAAGGCGCAGAUGACCAAGACAGCCGACUUCCACGAAACCUCCUCCUCUCAUACACGCACACACACACACACACACAAACACUAAAAAAAACGAAAGAAACCUUCACCGCCGUGCUGUCGAUGAGCAGUGGAGAUGAGACACACCAAUAACACGCGAGACGUCUGGCUAUGCAACGGAUCGUUUUCUCCGCUCAUUUCCUUGUUCAUUUCCUCCCUCCCCCAUUCUCUUCUUUGUUGUGCUUCAG
rnacentral:misc_RNA from 1 species